CUGGCCUUAAGCGCAAUAGAUUCUCACGCAAACCACGCGUUUUGUUGACCUGGUGCGCUCGCUACAUGGUUGGAUGGCAUCGGGGUAUAAAGCUGGGACUACCCUCGUCGGCCCUUGCCGCCGCGACGCCAGCCGGACCGUCGUCCGCCCUAACCAUUGGGAAUCAGACCUCUGGGGCUUCCUUUCGAGCUCAUUGUCGCCCGGCGUUUGUGGAAGGUCUGGGGGGAUCUCCACCCCGUGUUGAUCGCGCACGCACUGCUAAUUGGUCUCUGAGGGUUAGCGGUCGAUGGCAAUCGCUCGCCGUGAAUCCAGCGCCGCCGUCUGACCGCCAAGUGCCGGGGUCGGCAACCUCUGCGUGCAUGAUUUCUGGUAAUUCUCCCUUUCGUAUGUUCGCUACCAUCUCCUCUUCGUGUUUCUGUGAUCCAAUUUGAGGAUGGGGACAUGUGCGUGUCCCGUGGGUGGCUUGUCGGCGAAGCCCCGCCGCGGCGGCAUUUGCGUUGCCGUCACUGUAUCGGAGUUGGGGGAAAGAGAGAUGACCGUGGAUCUUCAAAUGUGUGGUGCAGAUUUGAAAUAGGGAGAACGUUUAGGCCGGGACCUUCGUGUCCAUAGAUCAAAGGAUGGGUGGUGUAGAUUUAGUUGGCCAUACCCGAUGGGGGAGGCCCGGCUCUCGAACGUUGAUAAUCGGAUCCACGGUAGGGACUAGACUUGGGUUAAUUAAAUCCGGGCCAUGAACUCGGGAUCUGGGGCCACAAAUGCGUACCGUUUCAGAUCAGGGUGAUCUAAUCUGGGCGCUUGAUUGAUGAUCCAACGGCCCUGAUCGCGCAAUACCCCUUCGCUGUUUGCGUUUUCUAAACGAGACCCUAGAAGAAUAGAGUAUCAACCCGCAGUCCAUCACUGUAUAACUCUGAGUCUCGGGAAUUUUAUAGUUUAGCCCCUGUACUCUUUGGUAGUUUUCGCGUAGUCUAGACAUUUAAUAAAAUCGAGAAAUUAAUUUGAAAAAUGAUUUUUAAUAUAAAAUAAAUCCAGAAACUUGUAUAAAUGAUAUUAAAUCCAUCUUAACUCCAAAUCGAUUCAUUCCAGUGGCAUUAAUUUUUUUAAUAUUGUUUAUCACAUAGUAACUUUGUUUAGCCAUGAAACUUGAAUUAAAAUUAUUCACUUGAAUUACUCUACUCUAGGUACUAAAUAACUUCGGAAAAACAUAACUAAUUCAUUUUAACUCUGUUUCAAUCCGUUCAAGUUGCGCUAGAUUCAUAUGAAUAUUUAUUAUGUAGUAACAGUAUUAAUUAUACCAUAUUGUAUAAUUUUAUAGUUAGAUAUAUAUUUAACCUAUGUCUACUAGAUUAACUCUUUUAAUCAAAGCUAACAUGUCCAUAGUUAUAAUUUGGGUUAAAAUGUGAUCUCUAGUCAAGUUAUAAUUAAGAUUAAAGUAGAAUUAAUUAUUCGUAGAAUAAUCUCUCAUAUGAUUUACGCUAAUCAAUUUAUAAUAUAGUUUGGUAGAUAAAUCAUAGGGAUCUCCCAUAAAUCAUAACUUUAUAACCGUAACUCCGAUUUUAGUAGUUCUCGAACUCACGAUCUCGUAGCAACGCGUAGAUUAUUAAUACGCAGUUUGUUCUUAUGUUUGGUGUUAUGUUAAUUUUGUCUAUACCAUGUUUGUUUGUAUUGCUACGACUAGCGCGAGGCUACGAGUCAUGUGAAGAUCAUCCUGGUACCUGGAAUCUUAAGUCCCAGGCAAGUUGUGCCCUUGAUCACUUCUUUUUACUCAAUCAUGUUCUUAUUAAUCAUAAUGAUAUGCAUAGGUUAAUUUUGAUGGGACCCAAUAGGUUACCCUAGUUUGACUAUCUUUAUACCUUGUUUAUCACUGAAUUUUUGGGUAGUAUCUGUUAUUGCUUUAUGUGAUUUUGGGUAUAGAGAUACACAAUGUUCAUGAUCAUACUUUUAUCAAUUGUUAUUUACUAUUCAUGAUGAGAUCAUUAUGUUAAUUGGAACAUAGAGCGAGCACUCGGGAAAACAGUGCUACCACAAGAGUGGUAUGGGACGCCCUUGGCUGACUAGUUAGGAAAGCUAGUGGAGGACUACCUUACCCGAAAGGGACAAGGGCAGUAAGGGAGUGGUUAGUGUAGGGAGGCCUUGGGUUGAUUUUGCUGCGAUGACGGUCAGGCUAGGGGUCCCUGCAUUGGAGCUUCCUAGAAACUAUAGCGGGUUUUCUGAAGCUAGUGACCCUGCCUCGCCUCCUCGGUAGAGGUGUAUGAGAUUGGCUUUCUCUUGGAAGAUGAGUAACAUGACUUGUGGGUAAAGACGCGCAACCUCUGAAGAGUGUAAAACUGGUAUAUCAGCCGUGCUCACGGUCAUGAGCAGCUCGAACCCUCAGAUGAUUAAUUUAUGGAAUUAAAUUCAAUUUGUCAUAUGCAUUGCAUUGAGGGUGUUGUUAUCAUUUUUGUUCUACUACUUAAUUGGGUUGGUAUUUACUUAUACUUAGCAAUUGCUAAUAAAAUUUUGACCAACUUUAAAAGCAAUGCUCAGCUCUAACCAUCCUCUUUGGUUAGCCUUACACUUCACAUGAGCUCCACCUUUGGCGAGUUCAUGCACAUUAUUCUCCACAACUUGUUGAGCGAUGAACGUAUGUGAGCUCACUCUUGCUGCCUCACACCCCCCACAGGUUAAGAACAGGUACCGCAAGAUGAGGCGCAUGGAGGAUGCCAUGACGAGGUCGUGAGAGGUCUAGGUCGUCGUCUCCCAGUCAACUUUGGAUUGCUGGAUCGUUGUCUCCAUAUGAUGUAAUUAUUUAUUUAUUUUGUACAGAACUCCUAUUAUAUAGUAAAGAUGUGACAUUCGUUUCUGUACCGCUAUUCAUCAUAUGUGUGAGACUUGGUCCCAGCAUAGCUGGUGUUUAUUUCGCGCUCGG
rnacentral:lncRNA from 1 species